rnacentral:rRNA from 1 species
AGUGAACGCUGGCGGUAGGCCUAACACAUGCAAGUCGAACGGCAGCACAGUAAGAGCUUGCUCUUACGGGUGGCGAGUGGCGGACGGGUGAGGAAUACAUCGGAAUCUACUUUUUCGUGGGGGAUAACGUAGGGAAACUUACGCUAAUGCCGCAUACGACCUACGGGUGAAAGCAGUGGAUCUUCGGACCUUGCGCGAUUGAAUGAGCCGAUGUCGGAUUUGCUAGUUGGCGGGGUAAAGGCCCACCAAGGCGACGAUCCGUAGCCGGUCUGAGAGGAUGGUCGGCCACACUGGAACGUAGACACGGUCCAGGCGCCUACGAGAGGCAGCAGUGGGGAACAUGGGGCAAUGGGCGCAAGCCUGACCCAGCCAUACCGCGUGGGUGAAGAAGGCCUUCGGUUUGUAAAGCCCUUUUUUUGGGAAAGAAAAGCUGUCGGCUAAUACCCCGCUGUUGUGACGGUACCGAAUGAAGAAGCACCGGCUAACUACGUG